rnacentral:tRNA from 1 species
GAAUUUUUAGUAUAAUUUUUGGUACGGUUAAUUGUUGAUUAGCAGGUUUUGAAGUUCU